rnacentral:lncRNA from 1 species
AAAACAAAUAUAUCGAAGUCGUAAAAAUUUAAAAAGAAAUGCUAGCAAGCAAUUUACUUUACCAACUAAACGAUGCAUCUAAUUCAGCUAAACUUAUAAUUAUACACAUGUCUAGAGUUACAAACAACCUGAACGUAGCCAACCAAUAGAAAUUUCAAAAUGCCUAACUCAAUUGGAGGAAAAUAUCCCAAACACUAACUCAGUAACCGCUGUAACUAAUAAGAGGUAAAAACAAAAUCAUGAAAGAUUGCCAGCUUGCCGUAGCUGGAGAACGCCGAUGGUUGGUGAUGGUGACAUUGUUGGGGAAAAAUUAGGUUUUUAAAUUUUUAUUAAACCUUUUGAAGAUCGCUCUCAUAUAAUAUAUAAGAAUACGUAAUCCAGAAAUCGUACCUUGAAAAUCCGAUUUGGCUUUUUCCGUUGAAAUGAUUUAGGCUCCUAGAUCACGAUCCGCCACCACCACUCCUGUUAGAUCACAAUCCGUCACCACCACGCUUGCUAGAUCACGAACUGUCACCAAUGAUCUUCCAGGUUAUGACUCAGGUUCGAUCUGCACUUGACGUGUGGGCGCCUUUAUCACUACCAAAGCAACUAGCACGAGAAAAUUUUUCUCUCAACAAUAGAGAGAAAAAUCUUAUUCUCUGAUCUGUAUAAAGUGGCUUCUAUCUUUUCUUUAGGGAAAAAUAAGCCUUAUAUAUUUCCCUUUAGUGAAAACCCUAGGCUCCAAAUAAUGCCCUAAAUAAAACUCACGUUUAUUUACUUUUUCAAUAGGGGACCUACCUUGUAAAAUAACAUAAGGCCCCUUAUACAAAAGCUAAUUAAAUGGAGCCUCCCACUAAAUGAUAUAUUUAGGCUUUUGACCCAAAUCGCUAGUUAUCUUACUUAUUAGUCCAGUAGUGGUGCAGUCAAUUAAAUGAGCUAACCCGGGGAUCAUUUGGGAACAUACAAUAGUGGCUACAAUAAUUAGGCUUGUAAUUAAACUAGCCCAAUUAUUUAAUUCCAAAUCUACUCCACUAAAAGAUUGGAACUGACUUCCAUAAUUGUAUGCUCGAAUAAUAAUUCGUCCCAAGCCACAUUGAUUUCUUUACUGCACAAUCCUUUGUACCACAUCGUUAAUUAAAUUGAUAUCUCAACUGUCCAAUCAAUUUAAUAACAUCUUAUUCCUUGAUCUUUACUGGUUUUCUCUAAUGAUCAUUUUCAACAUACUAAAUAUGUUGACACACUCUGGCCAGAGAAUUCUAUGAUCAAGUGCCGAAAACCCAUCAAGAGAUGUGUUGUACAAAUUCUAUAUUGUUAAUCCAUAACUCCAAUACUCAUAAUUGCUCCCACCAAGAUACCGGGUAAUCUUGACCACAAGGAUGUGUCGUGCCCAUUGGUAACUCAAAUGGAAUAACAAUUACAAUCAUGAAAUCAUAAUUAACUCAAGAUUAAGAUUACAGUAAAAUCAACGCCUAUGAGAUUUAAUAAGUCUGACAGUUAUUACAAAGUUAAUUAAAUCUCAUAUGUGAUCCUGUUCAAUGUAGUCGUACUACAUCAAUAAAUUCAUACAUGAUUAAGACAAAUCAUUCAAUGAAUUUAUUACAGUCUAUACCUAAAUAAAGUGCCCAACUUUAUUUAUCAACUGCGAACUAAAUUUAUUUAAUCAUAAGAUAACUUGUAUUUAUGUCUUCUGUGAAUCCACAUGGUGAUCACAUAAAUACAUAUAAUAUGAUUAAAUGGACUUUAAUACAAGUAUUAAUGCAAUUAAGAUAUUUGAAUAAAAUAUCUCAUUUAUUUUAUUAAUCAGAAAAAUAGUUUAUUACAAUUAAAUAAACACAUAUGCUUUUAAAGAGCAUAUUUUUCCAACAAUUCCCACUAGCUCUCAAAGCAUAUCUGGCAUAUUGCACAUGCUCUAGGGCUCUAAGUGCAGGUUAUAAAGGUUUCCCACUAAUGGCCAUUCUAAUAAGAUCUGCCAUUUAGCAUCUAAUGCCAUUUGGGGUACUGUCAUAUAACCUUUCUACACUAUUCCCUUAUAAGAUGAUACUUCCUUUCAAUAUGUUUUGUUUCUUGUGGUUCCUUGGUUCCUUAGAUUGAGCUACAGCACCACCAUUAUCACAUAAAUAGUUUAAGGGGUGCAGUUACAACAGGUACCACCUCAAGAUUUCGUAGGAACUUGCGGAGCCAUAUAGCUUCUUUUGCAGCUUCAAAUGUAGCCACAUAUUCAGCUUUAGUUGUUGAGUCUGUGAUACAAGAUUGUUUCACACUCAUCCAACUAAUAGCUCCACUUCCCAAUGUAAACACAUAGCCGGAAGUUGAUUUUCUGGAAUCCUUAUCUGACAUAAAGUCAGAAUCAGUAUAACCCACUGGAAUGAGUUCAUCACCAGAAUACAUAAGCAUAUAAUUUUUAGUUCUUUUCAGAUACUUUAUAAUAUGCUUGACUGCAGUCCAGUAUUGAGGUCCAGGAUUAAAUUGAUAUCUGCUAACCAUCCCUACCGCAAAACAGAUGUCUGGCCUAGUGCAAAGCAUGGCAUACACGAGACUUCCCACAGCGUCUGCAUAGGGAACUCGUCUCAUUCUCUCUAUCUCUUCAGAUGUUUCAGGUGAUUGAUCCUUAGAGAAUGUAAUUCCAUGUCUGAAUGGUAAUAAACCAGUCUUGGAAUUUUCCAUGCUAAAUCUAGCCAAUAUCUUAUCGAUAUAGACCGCUUGAGACAAGGCUAAAGUUUUAUUCUUCCGGUCUCGUAGUAACUUGAUACCAAGAAUAUAACUUGCCUCCCCCAGGUCUUUCAUAUCAAAUUAUUUUGCUAACCAAAUCUUUAUUGUAGUCAAUACUCCUAUAUCGUUUCCAAUCAGGAGAAUAUUGUCUACACAAAGAACUAGGAAGGCUACAAAUUUUCCCUGAAUUUUCUUAUACACACAUGGUUCAUCAAUGUUCUGAAUGAAUCCAAGUGAUUUAAUCGCUUGAUCAAAUCUGAUGUUCCAUGACCGGGAUGCUUGCUUCAAUCCAUAAAUGGAUCUCUGCAACUUACAUACCAUGUGUUCUUGGCCUUUUUGUAUAAAUCCAUCUGGUUGCUGCAUGUAGAUGUUUUCUUCAAGAUGCCCGUUAAGAAAGGCAGUCUUGACAUCCAUUUGCCAAAUUUCAUAAUCUAGCACUGCAGCAAUGGAGAGUAGAAUCCUGAUGGAUUUAAGCAUAGCAACCGUAGAAAAGGUUUCCUCAUAAUCGAUUCAUUCUUUCUGAGUAAACCCUUCGGCUACUAAUCUUGCUUUAAAUGUUUCCACCCUUCCGUCUACUCUUUUUUUUUCUCUUGUAGAUCCACUUGCAGCCUAUAGGUUUUACCCCAUUUGGUGCCUCUACAAGUUCCCAGACUUUAUUGGAAUACACAGAUUCUAUUUCUUGAUUCAUGGCCUUUUUCUAAAAUUUAACAUCUCUAUCUAUUAGAGCUUCGUUGUAACUAGUGGGAUUUUGUACAUGUUCAUCUGAGAUAGCCAUAUAGGUUUCUCCCAAAAAUAUGUAUCUCACAGGUAACCUAGUUACCCUCCCACUACGACAAGGUUCUAAAAGUGAUGGUUGUUCAAGGAUAAUCCUGUGCUGAUCAGCUGGUUGUUGCUGUUCUUCCUGUUCUAUAACAGGUGUUGAAAGCUGAGCAUCAACCUGAUCUCUUUUAUUUCUCUAGUUUUACCUUACUCUUAGGUUAUAAGUCAUUAUAGAGUCUUCCUCAAAGAAAGUAAAGAAUAUUUCUAUAAAUACAUUCCUAUCUUGAGGACUAUAAUUCAGACUUUCCCUUAUUCCUUUAAGAUACCUAAAACAUGCAAGCUUCUGAACACGAAUCCAUCUUGUCUAUCUCUGAUUCUAGUAGAAAUACUAGUAAACUCCAAAUACGAAUGUGUCUCAAACCAUGUUUGUGACUUUUUCAUAAUUUCUUGGAGUAGUAGACACCGAGAUAGAUGAAACUAAGUUCAAUAAACUUUGUAGUUUUAAAUACUAGUAUCUGGAAUCAAAAAAGGUAAAUGAUAAACCACUUAGUAUAUAUCUUGUCUUAUCCAAAAGAAUCUUGUUUCUCCAUUUAAUUACACUAUUGUAUUACAGUGUUCAUUGACAACCAAAUAGUGCUUGAAUUCUCCAUAGACAUAUUCUUUGUUUCGAUCAUAUCGAAGUUCUUUUAUGUUCCUGUCUAAUUGCUUUUGUCUUAUCCACGUACUCUUUUGAAUUUCAAAAGCAAUGGAAUCAUGACGCAUUUAGACAAACAUAAAUAAAAUGAAUAUUCAUCAACAAGAUUGAUAGAAUACUCAUAACCCCUUAUAACAUGUAAACUGAUUAGUCCGUAUACAUUUGUAUGCGCUAAAUCAUCAAAUACAUAGUUAUGCUUUUAGCUCAAAAAGAGCAUCCUUGUCAUAUUACUUUUCUAAAUAAGAUUUAUAGAGUUACAAUGAUCAAUCUUAAUAGGCCAACAAGUCUAUCAUUAAUCAUUUUCUUAAAAUCUUAUUAUAGUUUAUAUGACUUAGGCAUAAAUAUCAGAGGUGAUUUUUGGUUAGAAGAAACAUUUCUUUUCUUAGAUAAAUGCAUAUACUUUUUAUCAUUAUAUCUUACUUUGAAUAGAUCAAUGGACUUCUAAGAUAUAAAUUGUCUUUAUAAAUAACCAAAAUAAAUAAUAAAUAGAGGAUCCAAAAAAUAACAGUGUACUCCUGUUUAUUAAAACAAGCCACCGAAAUUAAAUUCCUCUAAUAUAAAGACAAAUAUCAAAACUAAAGUCUUGUAAAAUUGAUCUAGUCUUUCAAUUGAUAUAAACUAGCAUGUCCUCAACUGCUGUUUGAUGUUUUCUUCACUUAAUCUCUUGGUUUCCUGAAAACCAAAUAAAUGAAUUACAAAUAAGAUUAGUUAUCUCAGAAUUCAUUAUUGUAUGAUGCAAUAGAANNNNNNNNNNNNNNNNNNNNNNNNNNNNNNNNNNNNNNNNNNNNNNNNNNNNNNNNNNNNNNNNNNNNNNNNNNNNNNNNNNNNNNNNNNNNNNNNNNNNNNNNNNNNNNNNNNNNNNNNNNNNNNNNNNNNNNNNNNNNNNNNNNNNNNNNNNNNNNNNNNNNNNNNNCGACUUAAGCCUUGAAGAGAAUCCUUUUUCAGGAAGUUUUCUGCUAUGAUAAAAUUCUUCUAUAGCAUGUAGUUCGUGCAUUAAUUCAAUUAAGGUCAUAUCUUUAUUGUUUAAGAUAUAACUGACCUUAAACUCUUUGAAUGUAUCAGGUAAAGAUUCAAUCACCAUGUUAAUCUUUGAUUUAUCAUUGAUUUGAACACCAUGAAUCUCUACCUCAUUCAAAUAGUCCAUCAUUUUAAGGACAUGAUCACGAACUUUUGUGCCCUCUUCCAUCUUAGUAUCUGUGAUACGUUUUAAUGUGCUUCUCUGGCAAAAUGGGUAUUUUGCCCAAACAUCUGAUGAAGACUAGCCAUUAUUUCAGUGGCUGUUUCCAUGCUCCGAUGUUUCUUAUGCAGUUCCACAGAAAUCGAAGCCAAUAUAUAGCGCUUAGCCAUUUUGUUAGCUUCGCACCAUUUCUCAUAAGGCUCCCUCUGAUUUCUAUAAUCGUAUAACGAUGGUUCAGGAGGGCAAGGCUGGGUCAACACAUAUUUGCUUCCCUUAGCAGUGAGAAUAUUAAAUAGAUUGCGUUUCCAAUCUAAAUAAUUUUCGCCAGUGAGUUCAUUUUUAACAAGGAUAAUUAAUAAUGGGUUGAUGGAAGACAUUUUCUGAAAAACAAAACAAAAUAAACAUGCAUAAAUACUUUGAAACAAUAUUCACAAUAAAUGACAAAAAUGCAAAAAACCAUAAAUGCAUUUUAAUUUAUUGUAACGAUAAUCUAGUACCGCUUUGACAAGCUAUCCGUUGGGGAAGUCAUGUCAACACUUACUAGACCCAAUUAUCCAUUAGAUUAUUUACUUUCAUGUAAAGACAUGAUAAAUAAUUAUCGUUAUCCCUUUGGGCCUAAAUUUGUUAACAGAGCUUCGUUGGGAAGGUUAAUAACAAACUUUAGUUGAGUGUAUAACCAUUGUUUCAAUCUACGUAUUUUUCAUAUCAAUAGUCACCAUUGGGGUGAACAAUCGAUUGAAAAAUAUUUCAAUUUUAUCUUUGAAGAAGUUCAUCAAAUAAAAUAUCUAAUAUAUAUACCCUCCGAAGGGAGCAUCACCGUAUCAUGAAGUCGAGGUAUAUAUAUAAUUUUAUUAUUGAACUAACAAUGGAGCCCGUGGGAAAAUUAUCUUGAAUUUUCCCUCUCCCACUCAAUAUUUUAAAAUUGGUUUUUCCUUUUUAAAACAUACAUAUUGUUAAUUGCAUGCUUUCUAUAAUUUUAUCUAGAUGACAUCAAAUAUUAUUAAGCAUGUGCAAAUUUCAAACAAUAUAAUGAGAUUCAUUAUUAAUGAAUGACAUGUAUAAUUAUGCAUAGAGUGGCACUACCUAUUCUAUAUGAUAUGUUAUCAUGGCAUGUUAUCAUCCAAAACAUAACAUAUAGAAAAAUAAUUAAAUAAUCUUAAUUCAUGGCUUUCCUAAUAAUGAAAAAAUACAUUAACCCUAAGCCUAAUCUUCAUUGGGCUUCUUGUCAAUGUCCAUCUUCCAUAAGUUUGUCUUUGUUAAUGGACUAGGGGAAAUUGAGCUUUUAAAUUUAUAAUUGGUCCAAUUUUAAUUUUGAAAGGAAAUAAAUAAAAUAAAUAGUUUUAAUUUUAUUUUUAUUAAAAUAAAACUUUUGGACCAAAAAUAAAUUUAAUGUAUUUAAUUUUAUCUAUGCAUUUUUAAUCCAUUAAGCCUAAUUGAAAUUGGGCCUAAAACUAGGAUUCUUUAAGUCCAAAACGGUUUUUGGACUUAAAUGCAAAAAAUUAAAAAUGUUUCUGCCCAACUGAAAAAUAUGAAACUAUAGGGACCUCCACGAUAAAAACCAUGGAACCCUAAAAUCACAUUUUUCUUUUCCUCUUCUUCCCCAGCCGCCACCAGCACAAAAACCCAGCCGUUGUUUACUGUUUCCACACCGGACAGCCGUCAUCGACGCCGGAAAGACGCCAACCAGAACGCUCCGCGCCUCUAGCCCACGUUCACGCUGCUGCUUGGGCGCUGCAGCUGCUGCUCGCGCGCUGCAGUUGCUGCGUGUGCAGCGCGCGCUGCAGCUGCUGCGUGUGCAGCUCGCGCUGCUAGCAGCGUGGUUGCUGGCCGCUGCGCGUGCAGCGCGCGCUGCUGGCAGCAUGUGCUGCUGGCCGCUCGCUGCUGCGUGUGCUGGUUCGUUGCUGCAGUUUCCAGCACGUUUCCGCAAUUUUCCAGUGAUGAUGCUUCGGUGAUUUACAAAUUUUCAACGCAAAUUUUGGCUUUACAAAAUUUCAAUUACAGUAAAAUAAAUCAAGAGGGAAACAUGGUGAUAAAAAACCACCCCUCUUGUUACAGAUCCAAAGAAAAAUACAACGGAAAAUCUAACCAUGAAUUAAGACAAACCAAAACAUGCUUUAUUCAUAUAUUAAACAAAUAAUAUAUAUCUGAAUAAAUUGUGCCACUCUAAUACAUAAAUUUCAAGAUUAAUUUCAUACGGAAUUCUUAUAUAUUAAUAUGAGAUGGCUCUGAUACCAAUUGUUGGGGAAAAAUUAGGUUUUUAAAUUUUUAUUAAACCUUUUGAAGAUCGCUCUCAUAUAAUAUAUAAGAAUACGUAAUCCAGAAAUCGUACCUUGAAAAUCCGAUUUAGCUUUUUCCGUUGAAAUGAUUUAGGCUCCUAGAUCACGAUCCGCUACCACCACUCCUGUUAGAUCACGAUCCGUCACCACCACGCUUGCUAGAUCACGAACUGUCACCAAUGAUCUUCCAGGUUAUGACUCAGGUUCGAUCUGCACUUGACGUGUGGGCGCCUUUAUCACUACCAAAGCAACUAGCACGAGAAAAUUUUUCUCUCAACAAUGGAGAGAAAAAUCUUAUUCUCUGAUCUGUAUAAAGUGGCUUCUAUCUUUUCUUUAGGGAAAAAUAAGCCUUAUAUAUUUCCCUUUAGUGAAAACCCUAGGCUCCAAAUAAUGCCCUAAAUAAAACUCACGUUUAUUUACUUUUUCAAUAGGGGACCUACCUUGUAAAAUAACAUAAGGCCCCUUAUACAAAAGCUAAUUAAAUGGAGCCUCCCACUAAAUGAUAUAUUUAGGCUUUUGACCCAAAUCGCUAGUUAUCUUACUUAUUAGUCCAGUAGUGGUGCAGUCAAUUAAAUGAGCUAACCCGGGGAUCAUUUGGGAACAUACAAUAGUGGCUACAAUAAUUAGGCUUGUAAUUAAACUAGCCCAAUUAUUUAAUUCCAAAUCUACUCCACUAAAAGAUUGGAACUGACUUCCAUAAUUGUAUGCUCGAAUAAUAAUUCGUCCCAAGCCACAUUGAUUUCUUUACUGCACAAUCCUUUGUACCACAUCGUUAAUUAAAUUGACAUCUCAACUGUCCAAUCAAUUUAAUAACAUCUUAUUCCUUGAUCUUUACUGGUUUUCUCUAAUGAUCAUUUUCAACAUACUAAAUAUGUUGACACACUCUGGCCAGAGAAUUCUAUGAUCAAGUGCCGAAAACCCAUCAAGAGAUGUGUUGUACAAAUUCUAUAUUGUUAAUCCAUAACUCCAAUACUCAUAAUUGCUCCCACCAAGAUACCGGGUAAUCUUGACCACAAGGAUGUGUCGUGCCCAUUGGUAACUCAAAU